CCUUUCCUUUUAUUACUUCCUAGUUUUAUAAUCAUUUCUUUAACAAGUCAAGUGAUUGACAUAAGGGUUAAAAUAUGAUAAUCAUAGAGGAUAUGGUAGUUUUUGAGGUUCCUUUGAUUCCAUAAGUAUUGUGACUUUCAGAUGUACUUCUUAUAUGUGUUUGUUUUUAAACUUCUUUCCCUCACAGUAUAUAUUAUCUUAUAUGUAGCAGGGGUUUUUAAAAUUUUUUUUUUUUAUAAUUAUCUUGGUUCUGAGAUCCAUCCUCUGUAAGCAUGUCCACCAGUUCCAGCUUUGCUGUCCAGAAACUCUCAUGUUGUCUAGUUUAUCUAGAGGUAUUUAUCAAAUAUCAGAUUGUAAAAUGACAUAAUGUGCUAUGCAUGUGGCAUGCUGGUUUCUUUACACUCUUGUAGAUUGUGAAAGCCAGUUAUAAGGCUGAACAAAUGAGUGGAAAAAAAUUCAACUAGAAUUUGUCUGGAACAGAAGUAAAUAGUGCUCUAAAGUGAUGCCACUGGUGCAACUUAGAGUGAUUUCAAGAAAAGAUCAUUGCAAAUUUUGUCUUAACACUACUUACUAUAAUAGUUUACCCUACAAGUAAUAAGAACUUUAUUAUAAAAGAAAAUGGCUAGGGCAUGGUACACAGAGAAUAUAUGAGAAAUUUCACUUAGAUGUUUUUAAAGGCAAUAUCAGCUGGACAAUGGGAAAAAUGAAAGUAAAACAUCUUGUUCAGAAAGCAAAAAUAAGCACCUUUAUUCUUGUUGCUUGGAGCAUUAUAAGAACAGAAUAAUCUUAAAUAUUUUACAUGUCUUUGAUUAACAACAGAAACCAAAAUGAAUCAUAGAGAAGAUAGUAAACACCAUCUCCAUGUACUAUUUAACGGAUAGAAAAAUCUGGACUUACUAAUCUUAAUGUGUUAAGUUACCACCCCAUAAGAAAUCUUUUUCCGGAUUAUAAUUCAUCCUUAAUUUUUCAAGUAAAAUGGAUGCUCCAAUUAACUAGUGAGUUAAGGUGUUGUUACAUCUCUAAAAUAUCUAUAUUGAAAUAUCACUUACAGGAUUAGAGAGAUCCCUGACUUGCAGUCAAGUCAGAAAAUCCUUCCAUUUGAUCUGAAAGUAUUGAUGGGAAGGAAUCAGAUCUUCUAUUGGCAUCUAGUCAUUCCACUAGAACAAUUAAAAAAAAAAAAAAUCCAUAUGCAAGUCAAACUUUUUGGGACAAAGUGGGCAAAACCUGAUAAAACAUUUGAAAUAAAAUGAAUAGACUUUUCUCAUUGGUUGGUUUCAUAUUACCAGCUAAACCAUUGCAAUCUGUUUUCCCUCUAGUUUUAUGUAAAAUUCUGGUAUACAUAUACUUUUCAUGGUGUUAAAUUCAAAUGAUAAUUAUAUUGUUGGGAAUGGUUAUUAACUCACAAAAGGAAAUUGUUUAGGUUGAUCUUCUAAUUAGUAGGCCCUGUUUCAAUAUUUCAAUGAUUUAGUUUAACUAUUUCAAUUUAUCAAUGUCUACCUUGUUUUAUUUUUAUUUUUAUUUUAAGAAUCACUUUAUCAAUGUUUAUUUUUGUGAGUUAUCCUUCAGCAUUGUGGGAGGGUUUUUUAUAAUUGUUUUUUACUAGGACAUUACAGCUUUGUGAAAAUAAGCAAUAGAGCAAUAUACGGUUUGGUAAACACUUCUUACAAACAGUUCUCAGCAUAAAAAUAUAGCCAAAAGAAUUUUGGUUUAGCUUUCCCUAGUUUAGAUUACAUUAUACCUGUUUCUAAACUUAAUGGAUGCUAUAUGUAUUGGUUUGUGAACAUUAGGAUAGCCACAAAAGGUGACAAAUCGCUUUGAACUUUAUGCAGAAACACUGCAUUCUUAUGAACUCCCCCCCCUCUCCCCUCUUUUUUCUCUCUCCAGAUUUCAUUACUUUACUCAAAGUGUGAUAAAUUUUUUUAUUUCUGCACAGAAAAUGGGAAAUAUAUAUGAUGCCGUCCCUUUCUUUGGAAAAGGAUUCAACAAAAUCUAUCCCCUAAUUAUGGUUAUAUAUACCAUCUUAAUUGCAAGCAGGUUUUUUCAUCGGGUGAUUGAAUAAUUUGGUAAUUGGAAGAUAUUCAAGUUUCAAAAUGAAUCAGAUGAUAUGGAUGCAUUUGAUUAGUCAGGAGUAAUUAUUCUGAAAAAAGGAGAAGGUUGGCACUGAAUUGAAAUCAACGAAAGUGAUGGAGGAUGGAAAGAGAGGUCAAUUACAAUCUUUAAAAGAAGAGGCCCUAAUUGACACAAGCAGAGAAGCCAUCAACAAUAUGGAUUUGGUUGAGAAAAAUGUAACCUCCUCAACAGCUGAUUCAAGCAAUCUUCAAAAUGUAACAGCAGGAUCAUCAUCUAGAUUUGCCUUAAAGUGGGAAGCCAUGAAGACUGGUUUUCAAAACUUGAAGUUUAACAUUGUUGCCAAGAGAUUCAUUCCUUUACGCCAGGGUCAAGAAACCAAAAUCGACCGUGUUUCCUCGUCUGAAUCACUUGAUGAAAUAUUUGAGAGAUUGAAACAGCCAACCAUGAACCGUAGAGGUUAUUACAAUGAUGACAAUGAUGAUGAUCAUGGCUUGGACAUCAGGGAGAUGCGAUCAUCCAUAUAGUCUCUUACACAUUAAGCAGAGCCAUUAUGAAAAUAGGUAUAAUCAUUUUGGGUUAAUGCUCUAGAGAUGUGUUUCUAGGAUAGUUGAAUUUUACUCUUCAACAAAUUCUAUUGUGACUGGAUCACCCGUGGUGUAGAGAAUUCUCAAGCACACACAUUUUUUACUAGUUGAUUGGGGGUAAAUGUAAAAAGAAAAUAUGGCCCAUGAUUUGAAGAGGAGUGAUUUAUGGGGAACUCAGCCGGUAAGUACUGUAAUUGUAAGCAUGUGGUAGAUUACUGCAUGCAUGUUGUGUACAGUCAUUUAUACAUGUGACGUUUUUCU